GAUGAAGAACGUAGCGAAAUGCGAUACUUGGUGUGAAUUGCAGAAUCCCGUGAACCAUCGAGUCUUUGAACGCAAGUUGCGCCCGAAGCCACUAGGCCGAGGGCACGCCUGCCUGGGCGUCACACGCCGUUGCCCCCCCAUCUACUCCUUCGGGAUUGCGGGGGGGCGGAUGAUGGCCUCCCGUGCGCCUAGCCGCGCGGUUGGCAUAAAUACCAAGUCCUCGGCGACGCACGCCACGACAAUCGGUGGUUGCGAACCCUCGGUUGCCCGUCGUGUGCGUUCGUCGCGCAUCGAGGGCUCGAAAAAAUGCUCGGCUCCGGCUGGGCUUUCAACGCGACCCCAGGUCAGGCGGGGUUACCCGCUGAAUUUAAGCAUAUCAAUAAGCGGAGGA
rnacentral:misc_RNA from 1 species